GCCGGGGGUGUUGAACACAUUAGCGAAUUAUGCUCUCGCCUUUUACUAGAGCAAACCGUGUAUUCGUCACAAGCCCUGAGUUCGAAUUUCUUCCUAAACUCUCAUCAUAGAGUAU
rnacentral:snRNA from 1 species